rnacentral:rRNA from 1 species
GGGGAAUUUUCCGCAAUGGGCGAAAGCCUGACGGAGCAAUACCGCGUGAGGGAUGACGGCCUAUGGGUUGUAAACCUCUUUUUUCAGGGAGGAAUCAAUGACGUGUACCUGAAGAAUAAGCAUCGGCUAACUCCGUGCCAGCAGCCGCGGUAAGACGGAGGAUGCAAGUGUUAUCCGGAAUCACUGGGCGUAAAGCGUCUGUAGGUGGUUGAAUAAGUCAACUGUUAAAUCUUGAGGCUCAACCUCAAAACCGCAGUCGAAACUAUUUGACUAGAGUAUAGUAGGGGUAAAGGGAAUUUCCAGUGGAGCGGUGAAAUGCGUAGAGAUUGGAAAGAACACCGAUGGCGAAGGCACUUUACUGGGCUAUUACUAACACUGAGAGACGAAAGCUAGGGUAGCAAAUGGGAUUAGAUACCCCAGUAGUCA